UGGGGAAUUUUGCACAAUGGGGGAAACCCUGAUGCAGCGACGCCGCGUGAUUUAGAAGGCCUUCGGGUUGUAAAAAUCUUUUCUAUGGGAAGAAAAUGACAGUACCAUAGGAAUAAGGACUGGCUAAUUACGUGCCAGCAGCCGCGGUAAUACGUAAGGUCCGAGCGUUGUCCGGAAUCAUUGGGCGUAAAGGGUACGUAGGCGGGUAAGCAAGUUAGAAGUGAAAUCCUGUAGCUCAACUACAGUAAGCUUUUAAAACUGCUCAUCUUGAGAUAUGGAAGGGAAAGUGGAAUUCCUAGUGUAGCGGUGAAAUGCGCAGAUAUUAGGAGGAAUACCGGUGGCGAAGGCGACUUUCUGGCCAUAAUCUGACGCUGAGGUACGAAAGCGUGGGGAGCAAACAGG
rnacentral:rRNA from 1 species